UUUGGAUGUAAAAUAUAUUAACCUGAGUAGUAAUAGUUAAGGUCUUGAAACUUAAAGAAUUUGGCGGUAUUAUAGUCUAUUUAGAGGAAUCUGUCCCUUAAUCGAUAGUCCGCGUUGUACCUUACCAAUUUUUAUGUAUGUAUACCGCCGUUAUUUAUGAGAAUCUUUUUAGGGAUUUAUAAUUUUCUGGAUUUGCUUAUAAAGUUUAUUUCAGGUCAAGGUGCAGCUUAUGAUUUGGUGGAGAUGGAUUACAUUUAUAUUAAAUAUUGGAUUAUUCUUUGCAAUUGGAAUAUGAAAUUGGAUUUAAUUGUAAUUUUUUGUAGAUUGUAAUUUUGAUUUUAGCUCUAUAAUAUGU
rnacentral:rRNA from 1 species